GACGAACGCUGGCGGCGUGCUUAACACAUGCAAGUCGAACGGAAAGGCCCUGCUUUUGUGGGGUGCUCGAGUGGCGAACGGGUGAGUAACACGUGAGUAACCUGCCCUUGACUUUGGGAUAACUUCAGGAAACUGGGGCUAAUACCGGAUAGGAGCUCCUGCUGCAUGGUGGGGGGGGGAAAGUUUCGGCGGUUGGGGAUGGACUGGCGGCUUAUCAGCUUGUUGGUGGGGUAGUGGCUUACCAAGGCUUUGACGGGUAGCCGGCCUGAGAGGGUGACCGGCCACAUUGGGACUGAGAUACGGCCCAGAGUCCUACGGGAGGCAGCAGUGGGGAAUAUUGCACAAUGGGCGGAAGCCUGAGGCAGCAACGCCGCGUGCGGGAUGACGGCCUUCGGGUUGUAAACCGCUUUCGCCUGUGACGAAGCGUGAGUGACGGUAAUGGGUAAAGAAGCACCGGCUAACUACGUG
rnacentral:rRNA from 1 species